rnacentral:rRNA from 1 species
GGCCAGACUCCUACGGGAGGCAGCAGUGGGGAAUAUUGCACAAUGGGCGCAAGCCUGAUGCAGCGACGCCGCGUGAGCGAAGAAGUAUUUCGGUAUGUAAAGCUCUAUCAGCAGGGAAGAAAAUGACGGUACCUGACUAAGAAGCCCCGGCUAACUACGUGCCAGCAGCCGCGGUAAUACGUAGGGGGCAAGCGUUAUCCGGAUUCACUGGGUGUAAAGGGAGCGUAGACGGCCAUGCAAGCCUGGAGUGAAAGCCCGGGGCCCAACCCCGGGACUGCUCUGGGAACUGUGCGGCUGGAGUGCGGGAGGGGCAGGCGGAAUUCCUGGUGUAGCGGUGAAAUGCGUAGAUAUCAGGAGGAACACCGGUGGCGAAGGCGGCCUGCUGGACUGCAACUGACGUUGAGGCCCGAAAGCGUGGGGAGCAAACAGGAUUAGAUACCCUUGUAGA